rnacentral:rRNA from 1 species
CUGGAAACAGUCCUUCCCCUUUGGGGCCGGUUCACAGGUGGUGCAUGGUUGUCGUCAGCUCGUGUCGUGAGAUGUUGGGUUAAGUCCCGCAACGAGCGCAACCCUCGUUCCAUGUUGCCAGCGCGUAAUGGCGGGGACUCAUGGGAGACUGCCGGGGUCAACUCGGAGGAAGGUGGGGACGACGUCAAAUCAUCAUGCCCCUUAUGUCUUGGGCUUCACGCAUGCUACAAUGGCCGGUACAAAGGGUUGCGAUACUGUGAGGUGGAGCUAAUCCCAAAAAGCCGGUCUCAGUUCGGAUUGGGGUCUGCAACUCGACCCCAUGAAGUCGGAGUCGCUAGUAAUCGCAGAUCAGCAACGCUGCGGUGAAUACGUUCCCGGGCCUUGUACACACCGCCCGUCAAGUCACGAAAGUUGGUAACACCCGAAGCCGGUGGCCUA